AGAAUCAACGCUGGCGGCGUGCCUAACACAUGCAAGUCGAACGAGAAAGUGGAGCAAUCCAUGAGUAAAGUGGCGACCGGGUGAGUAACACGUGACUAACCUACCUUCGAGUGGGGGAUAACAUCGGGAAACCGAUGCUAAUACCGCAUAACAUCGCAAGAUCAAAGCAGCAAUGCGCUUGAAGAGGGGGUCGCGGCUGAUUAGCUAGUUGGCGGGUAACGGCCCACCAAGGCGAAGAUCGGUA
rnacentral:rRNA from 1 species